ACAAACUUGGUCAUUUAGAGGAAGUAAAAGUCGUAACAAGGUUUCCGUAGGUGAACCUGCGGAAGGAUCAUUAACGAGGUUUACCGGCCAAUGCUGGCGAGGCAACUCGCAUGUGCACGGUCGUCUUCCUUCUAUCAACCCCUGUGCACUUUAAUUAACGGAUUUGGAGGGAAGCGCGUCUGGAGGAUUAACAUAGUAGUUGUGGGUCCCGUCAGGGGCACGCGUCGAAAAGGUUAAUCUGUCGAUGGGCGUGUGGUACCUUUGAGUUCGCUUUUAUAAACCACGCAUAUAGUCAUGUCGAAUGUUCAGUCCUAAGGGACGCUAAAUUUAAUACAACUUUCAACAACGGAUCUCUUGGCUCUCGCAUCGAUGAAGAACGCAGC
rnacentral:misc_RNA from 1 species